AUGAAAUGUCACUCUGUUAUGGAGGUGUGAACUUGUAUGUUUGUGUAAUCUCAUUAAUGGUUUUGUUUUAUAUUGCAAAUAGAAAAGUGAGUGACAAAGUCAAGAGUUUAUGUUGCUUGCUUGAUUGAGAACUUCUCUUAUUUUCAGUUCUCACAAUAGUUAAUGGUUUAAGAAAUCAAGACCUUUAUGCAACUGAGAAUUCUUUUCGCGGUUUAUGCAUGGUUGGGUUGGGGGUUGUGGGGUGGGCUGAGGGACCACUAUCAGACAAGUUGAGCAUCUACAGAAGAGGUGCCUACUUCUAUUUGUA
rnacentral:misc_RNA from 1 species